CCUACGGGAGGCAGCAGUGGGGAAUAUUGCACAAUGGGGGGAACCCUGAUGCAGCGACGCCGCGUGGGGGAAGGAGUAUUUCGGUAUGUAAAGCCCUAUCAGCAGGGAAGAACAAUGACGGUACCUGACUAAGAAGCACCGGCUAAAUACGUGCCAGCAGCCGCGGUAAUACGUAUGGUGCAAGCGUUAUCCGGAUUUACUGGGUGUAAAGGGAGCGCAGGCGGCGCGUUAAGCCUGGUGGGAAAGUCCGCGGCCCAACCGCGGGACUGCAUUGGGAACUGGCGCGCUGGAGUGCCGGAGGGGUAGGCGGAAUUCCUAGUGUAGCGGUGAAAUGCGUAGAUAUUAGGAGGAACACCAGUGGCGAAGGCGGCCUACUGGACGGUGACUGACGCUGAGGCUCGAAAGCGUGGGGAGCAAACAGGAUUAGAUACCCCUGUAGUC
rnacentral:rRNA from 1 species